AUGGACCUUCACAAGGAAGUCAGUGCUGCUAAAUUAACUGAUGAUCUAGUGGUUGAUAUCCUCUCCCGGUUGAAUUACAAGUCUUUUUGCCGCUGCAAGUGUGCCUAUAAGGCAUGGUCUGCUUACUCCUCUGAUCCAGACUACCGCCAGAAGCUGCCCAAACCCACUGGCCUUUUGUACCAAGGCCACAAUAAGUCUGCUAUCUCGCUUGUUAGCCUGUCCCAAGACGAUGGAGAAGUCGGUGGAAUUCUUGCUUACGUGCCACAUUAUGAGCAUUUAGAAUUUCUUGACUGCUACAAUGGUCUUAUCCUUUGUAAGUACAGGAGCAGCUAUACUUCUCCAGGCAUUUGCCGCUUUGUUGUGUGCAACCCAGCAACACGAGAGUGGAGAAUACUUCCUGAUACACAUCCUGGGACAGAGGACCCUCGCUGUGUAACUAUUUUGGCGUUUGAUCCAUCAUGGUCACCACAGUUCUACAUCUUCAAUUUCCAUCUGGAACAUGUACUUGGUUUGAUACAAUAUCAGCAUGGGGAAACUCAACAAGAUACAAGACGUCUGUAUGUGGCAUCAGUACUAUGUCUAUAUACCAUGCUACUCAGAGCUUCCAGCCCAAGAACCUUCGGUUGA
rnacentral:rRNA from 1 species